rnacentral:rRNA from 1 species
UACUAGAGUAGCACUCGCAUAUCAAUAAGCGGAGGAAAAGAAACUAACAAGGAUUCCCCUAGUAACGGCGAGUGAAGCGGGAAGAGCUCAAAUUUGAAAUCUUAAAGGGUUUCCCUUUACGAAUUGUAGUUUAAAGAAGUGUUUUCUGUUGAGGUUUUGGUAAAAGUUCUUUGGAAUAGGACAUCAUAGAGGGUGAGAAUCCCGUAUUUGACCUUUACUUUCAACUUUGUGAUACACUUUCAAAGAGUCGGAUUGUUUGGGAAUGCAGUCCAAAAUGGGUGGUAAAUUUCAUCUAAAGCUAAAUAUUGGCGAGAGACCGAUAGCGAACAAGUACCGUGAGGGAAAGAUGAAAAGAACUUUGAAAAGAGAGUUAAACAGUACGUGAAAUUGUCAAAAGGGAAGCGUUUGACACCAGUGUUGUUUUUCUGAAAAUCAAUUAAAGAACUGUUUAUGCUAAGCUGUUUAGACUUUAUCAGCUAACUGUUUAGUUUUAGGCUUUUCUUUAAUGCACUUUUCAGUUAACAAGUCAACAUCAAUUUCUUUUGCUGUAAAAAAGCUUGAGGAAGGUGGCUUGAGAUUCGUCUUAAGUGUUUAUAGCCUCUUGCCUAUGCAGUCGGAGAGAUUGAGGUCUGCAGCGUAGAUCCUUCGGGGGCUAAAUGCAUUUGUGCUAAGUUAUAGCAUUUUAUAGACAACUUGUUGACUAUGAUUUUGUCUUGUAGCUUACUCGCUUAUGUUAUUUUACCUACGCUUAGGAUGUUGAGCGCAUGUCUCUCUCU